UUUCGGCCACAUCAAUGUUAAACACAGAUUCCCGUACGAUAACCGAAGUUAAGCAACGUUGAGCCUAGUCAGUACCUAGAUGGGUGACCACUUGGAAAUA